CUGGAGGUAUCAGAAGUGCGAAUGCUGACAUAAGUAACGAUAAAGCGGGUGAAAAGCCCGCUCGCCGGAAGACCAAGGGUUCCUGUCCAACGUUAAUCGGGGCAGGGUGAGUCGACCCCUAAGGCGAGGCCGAAAGGCGUAGUCGAUGGGAAACAGGUUAAUAUUCCUGUACUUGGUGUUACUGCGAAGGGGGGACGGAGAAGGCUAUGUUGGCCGGGCGACGGUUGUCCCGGUUUAAGCGUGUAGGCUGGUUUUCCAGGCAAAUCCGGAAAAUCAAGGCUGAGGCGUGAUGACGAGGCACUACGGUGCUGAAGCAACAAAUGCCCUGCUUCCAGGAAAAGCCUCUAAGCAUCAGGUAACAUCAAAUCGUACCCCAAACCGACACAGGUGGUCAGGUAGAGAAUACCAAGGCGCUUGAGAGAACUCGGGUGAAGGAACUAGGCAAAAUGGUGCCGUAACUUCGGGAGAAGGCACGCUGAUAUGUAGGUGAAGCGACUUG
rnacentral:rRNA from 1 species